rnacentral:rRNA from 1 species
UACAGAGGUCUCAAGCGUUGUUCGGAUUCAUUGGGCGUAAAGGGUGCGUAGGUGGCGCUGUAAGUCGGGUGUGAAAUUUCGGAGCUUAACUCCGAAACUGCAUUCGAUACUGGCGUGCUUGAGGACUGGAGAGGAGACUGGAAUUCAUGGUGUAGCAGUGAAAUGCGUAGAGAUCAUGAGGAAGACCAGUGGCGAAGGCGGGUCUCUGGACAGUUCCUGACACUGAGACACGAAGGCCAGGGGAGCAAACGGG